GUCGAGAAUCAUUCGCAAUGGGCGAAAGCCUGACGAUGCGACGCCGUGUGAGCGAAGAAGGCCUUAGGGUUGUAAAGUUCUUUCGCUUGGGAACAAGGGGACAGGGUAAAUAGCCAUGUUUUUUGAGGGUACCAGGUAAAGAAGCACCGGCUAACUCCGUGCCAGCAGCUGCGGUAAUACGGAGGGUGCAAGCAUUAAUCGGAUUUAUUGGGCGUAAAGGGCGUCUAGGUGGGGAUGUAAGUCAGACGUGAAAUCCCGGAGCUCAACUCCGGAACUGCGUUUGAAACUGCAUUUCUUGAGGGUAGGCGGGGGAAACGGAAUUCCACGUGUAGCGGUGAAAUGCGUAGAUAUGUGGAAGAACACCGGUGGCGAAGGCGGUUUCCUAGCUUACACCUGACACUGAAGCGCGAAAGCAAGGGGAGCAAACAGG
rnacentral:rRNA from 1 species